CAAAUUAGACUAUAAUAGAAAGUAAAACCAAAAAGUAACCACGAUCAUAAAAUAAACAAAUAUAUAUAUGUAAACAAACAAUACAGAAUACUAAAUGGAAUACACCCAAAUUCUACUUUAUGUCAUUUCACUUUGACUUGUAAAUAUCUGCAUUUGCAUCACUCCAAGAAUCCUUUUUCUUUUGGUAUAUAUAAUUCAAUUAUUAAUCCUAGUGUGUUUGUACAUAGUUACAGCUCAAAAUUCAAUGAGGUUUUCACCUGGAAGGAGUGUGGUCGGCUGUCGGGCGGUGCUCGAUUCGGGACCGCUUGGUCAUGACAGCACUGUGCAAUGCAUUUGCUUAUCGGGCACUUCCAUUGUGAGAUAUCCAACACAACAGGGUAUGCAAAUAAAAAUUGAGCACUAUUGUUUGUAUUGUAAUAAAGUGAUUCGAAAUGAAACUUACAAUUUAUUAUUAUUAUGUGUUUCC
rnacentral:lncRNA from 1 species